AUUUGAUCGGAUGAGACAUGUCACAUGAUGGAUGAGUUGAUGGAUGAUCACAAGCAAAAGAUGAGACUCCAGAAGGUGAGAUGAUGAAGGAUGACACACCGACUGUGACUGGAUGCGAGCAUCUCUUUUACUAAGGAGCAGAGCAGCACCCAGGAGACCAGACCCAGAUUAUACACACUGAAACAGAGCUUUUAUUGGACCCUGGUAAAAACCCUGCCUCUGUGUGUGUGUAUGUGUGUGUGUCUGACAGAGGGAGUGUCAGGGGUGUGACAGAAGGGCAAAAAGGAGGAUAUCAAAGGCCCUCCUUUUUCCACAGCGUGUGCAUGUUUUUGUGCGUUUAUCUCUCUUAGUGAGGU
rnacentral:lncRNA from 1 species